AAUAUAGGCACCAUCAUAGUGUCAGAUAUAGAAACCACUAUAAUGAGUGAUUUUGACUCUAGCACACUGUUUUACAAAAACCAACACAAUAAAUAAUUCUAUUUAUACCAAUUGCCCUUCCAACCAUUCCAUUCACCCAUAACCUGAUAAAAAGUAGCUGAGUUUUCAAUCCUUGGUAACUUUGUUGAAGGAUAACAACGGUUGCCUGCAUGAAGUUAACAUAUUUUCUAAUCAGUAUGAGAAAAAAUCACAUAACAUAGAGCGAAGUAAAUGUGCCCAAGCAUGCAACUGUGUUUCCUUUGAUUAAAAUAAACAAUGAUUUAAAAGAAUUAUGUGAAAAAAGAUUAGAAAAAAAACUCAGCUCUGAUAG